GUCAGCAGGAAGUCAGGUGUCAAUGGAUCUCUGUGCCCACUCCAAGCCACUAGAAAACCUGGCUCUUCCUACUAGUGAGAAAAGGCCCAAGACAAGACCUGAGGCAACUAUGUGGUACCCAGCAACAGAAAAGGCUUCACAAUGCCAGAAUUGGGUCUGCCAAAGAAAAACGUACAGAAGAGAACCUUAAAGAGAUUCAGUCAUAGUGGAGGACAAGCAGAAACGGCACUUACAACCAGUUGGUAGGGAAC
rnacentral:lncRNA from 1 species